rnacentral:rRNA from 1 species
UACGUAGGGUGCAGGCGUUAAUCGGAAUUACUGGGCGUAAAGCGUGCGCAGGCGGUCUGUUAAGACAGGUGUGAAAUCCCCGGGCUUAACCUGGGAAUUGCGCUUGUUACUGGCAGGCUUGAGUGUGGCAGAGGGGGGUGGAAUUCCAAGUGUAGCAGUGAAAUGCGUAGAUAUUUGGAGGAACACCGAUGGCGAAGGCAGCCCCCUGGGUUAACACUGACGCUCAUGCACGAAAGCGUGGGGAGCAAAC